rnacentral:hammerhead_ribozyme from 1 species
AUCUGGCUGACAAGUCCAAACUAGGACGAAACGUGUGUCAAACUGGAU